rnacentral:rRNA from 1 species
GGGCCCGCACAAGCGGAGGAACAUGUGGUUUAAUUCGAUGAUACGCGAGGAACCUUACCCGGGCUUAAAUUGCAAAUGAAUAAUCUGGAAACAGUUUAGCUGCAAGGCAUUUGUGAAGGUGCUGCAUGGUUGUCGUCAGCUCGUGCCGUGAGGUGUCGGCUUAAGUGCCAUAACGAGCGCAACCCUUAUCUUUAGUUACUAACAGUUCGGCUGAGGACUCUAAAGAGACUGCCGUCGUAAGAUGUGAGGAAGGUGGGGAUGACGUCAAAUCAGCACGGCCCUUACGUCCGGGGCUACACACGUGUUACAAUGGGGAGUACAGCAGGCUGCUACACAGCGAUGUGAUGCCAAUCUUCAAAACUCCUCUCAGUUCGGAUCGAAGUCUGCAACCGACUUCGUGAAGCUGGAUUCGCUAGUAAUCGCGCAUCAGCCACGGCG